rnacentral:tRNA from 3 species
GCCCGGGUGGUGGAAUUGGUAGACACAAGGGACUUAAAAUCCCUCGGAAUUUUCUUCCGUGCCGGUUCAAGUCCGGCCUCGGGCACCA